rnacentral:rRNA from 1 species
GACGAACGCUGGCGGCGUGCUUAACACAUGCAAGUCGAGCGGUAAGGCCCUUCGGGGUACACGAGCGGCGAACGGGUGAGUAACACGUGAGCAAUCUGCACUUCACACUGGGAUAAACCCCGGAAACGGGAGCUAAUACCGGAUACGACCACUUCGGACAUCAGAGGGUGGUGGAAAGUUCCGGCGGUGAAGGAUGAGCUCGCGGCCUAUCAGCUUGUUGGUGGGGUAACGGCACACCAAGGCUUCGACGGGUAGCCGGCCUGAGAGGGUGACCGGACACACUGGGAAUGAUACACGGCCCAGACUCCAACGUGAGGCAGCAGUGGGGAAUAUUGGACAAUGGGCGAAAGCCUGAUCCAGCAACUCCGCGUGAGGGAUGACGGCCUUCGGGUUGUAAACCUCUUUCAGCGCAGACGAAGCGAAAGUGACGGUAUGCGCAGAAGAAGCACCGGCCAACUACGUGCCAGCAGCCGCGGUAA